GAUGAACGCUAGCGGGAGGCCUAACACAUGCAAGCCGAGCGGUAUGGAUAGCUUGCUAUCCAGAGAGCGGCGUACGGUUGCGUAACACGUGUGCAACCUACCUUUAUCUGGGGGAUAGCCUUUCGAAAGGAAGAUUAAUACCCCAUAAUAUAAUGAUUGGCAUCAAUUAUUAUUGAAAACUCCGGUGGAUAGAGAUGGGCACGCGCAAGAUUAGAUAGUUGGUGAGGUAACGGCUCACCAAGUCACUGAUCUUUAGGGGUCCUGAGAGGGAGAUCCCCACACUGGUACUGAGACACGGACCAGACUCCUACGGGAGGAAGGAGUGAGGAAUAUUGGACAAUGGGUGAGAGCCUGAUCCAGCCAGCCCGCGUGAAGGAGGACGGUCCUAUGGAUUGUAAACUUCUUUUGUACAGGGAUAAACCUACCCUCGUGAGGGUAGCUGAAGGUACUGUACGAAUAAGCACCGGCUAACUCCGUG
rnacentral:rRNA from 1 species